rnacentral:rRNA from 1 species
AUUGAACGCUGGCGGCAGGCCUAACACAUGCAAGUCGAGCGGAUGAAGGGAGCUUGCUCCUGGAUUCAGCGGCGGACGGGUGAGUAAUGCCUAGGAAUCUGCCUGGUAGUGGGGGAUAACGUCCGGAAACGGGCGCUAAUACCGCAUACGUCCUGAGGGAGAAAGUGGGGGAUCUUCGGACCUCACGCUAUCAGAUGAGCCUAGGUCGGAUUAGCUAGUUGGUGGGGUAAAGGCCUACAAAGGCGACGAUCCGUAACUGGUCUGAGAGGAUGAUCAGUCACACUGGAACUGAGAUACGGUCCAGACUCCUACGGGAGGCAGCAGUGGGGAAUAUUGGACAAUGGGCGAAAGCCUGAUCCAGCCAUGCCGCGUGUGUGAAGAAGGUCUUCGGAUUGUAAAGCACUUUAAGUUGGGAGGAAGGGCAGUAAGUUAAUACCUUGCUGUUUUGACGUUACCAACAGAAUAAGCACCGGCUAACUUCGUG